UACGUAGGUGGCGAGCGUUGUCCGGAUUUAUUGGGCGUAAAGCGCGCGCAGGCGGUUUCUUAAGUCUGAUGUGAAAGCCCUCGGCUUAACCGAGGAGGGUCAUUGGAAACUGGGAGACUUGAGUGCAGAAGAGGAAAGUGGAAUUCCAAGUGUAGCGGUGAAAUGCGUAGAGAUUUGGAGGAACACCAGUGGCGAAGGCGACUUUCUGGUCUGUAACUGACGCUGCGGCGCGAAAGCGUGGGGAGCAAACAGG
rnacentral:rRNA from 1 species